AGCUCCUACGGGGGGCAGCAGUAGGGAAUCUUCCACAAUGGGCGAAAGCCUGAUGGAGCAACGCCGCGUGGGUGAAGAAGGUCUUCGGAUCGUAAAACCCUGUUGUUAGAGAAGAAAGUGCGUGAGAGUAACUGUUCACGUUUCGACGGUAUCUAACCAGAAAGCCACGGCUAACUACGUGCCAGCAGCCGCGGUAAUACGUAGGUGGCAAGCGUUAUCCGGAUUUAUUGGGCGUAAAGGGAACGCAGGCAGUCUUUCAAGUCUGAUGUGAAAGCCUUCGGCUUAACUGGAGUAGUGCAUUGGAA
rnacentral:rRNA from 1 species